UGUUCAUACCGAGCUUCUGAAGCUCCUCUAUGUCCUUGAUCAUUGUCAAACAAUGACCAUUGAUGGACUGCCCAUCACACACCUUCGCUCUAAAAAGUCUUUGGGAGACCUCAGAGUGAGCUGUGUGACUCUGUUCAUCAUACAACUCUUACAAGUGAGUCAGGAUCUCUCUGGCAAUCCUUAUGUCUUCAUGCUAUUGCUAAAGAUCAUUGGACAUGGA
rnacentral:lncRNA from 1 species